rnacentral:lncRNA from 1 species
GGCAGUGGCCAGAAACCUUUGUUCUUUACACAGCAGGAGAGAGAAAUGCGAGUUCAUGCUGAAUUGCAGGAAUAUAUUGAUUCAUUUAUUUUGUGCAUGUGAUAAAAGUGAUAAAAGUGAUUAGAUUGUAAAUUACUGUCAGUUUUUGCAGUAGAGAGAAUGUUUGUGCCUCUGUUCAAAAUAUUUUUAUCUUGUGCUUUAAUUUAAGAGCUUCUGAUAAUAAUUGUUUCAGAGUCUUAAGUACUUGGGGUUUUUCUGUCAUAUUCAGCUUUUAUUUGUAGCUCAUUGUUUUGAUUAUUUUAAAAGUAACAAAGUAAGAAAUCAGGAAAAUCCUAAUUUCAAAGCAGACUUUGAACUUUAGUAUUUUAGUACUCAGUAACUACCUAAUUACUGUUAGUUUUUCUUUCAUUGCUUUUUUUUUCUCUAAGGUUUGUGUUACCAUUUCUAAAUGUAUUCCAAUAUAUGCUUUUACAUGGGUUACAAGAUUUUGUAUGCCAUUAUUGCUUUUAUUUCAGUAGGAUUUUAACAAACAAAGAACUGAUUUAAUUCAUGUGCUAAUGACAAAUAAAGACUCAGUCAAACAAUGACAAAUUCAUAGAGGACUUUAUUUGGAUGUCAUACUGUGUAUAUCUUAAGCUCAGAAUUCUCUUUUUUCAUCUUUCUGUCCAAGAAAGCUGAGUUAUCACAAAGAUGAUUUUACAGUUAAUUACCCAAAAGGAAUUCUCUGAUUUCCUUUAAUAUUCAUUUGCCUUGCUAAUAUUAAUCUCUUCUGGGAAUACAACUUUGUACCCCCAGGAGCACACUUUUUUUUCUGAAAUAAUUGUGGAAUUGUAUUUACUAAUUUAGAUCACAUCAGAAUUAUCUUUACUGAUUUCCUGGGCUAACAGGCUGUGUAUCUUUAUGCAGAAGGAAGGAGAAUGAAGUGAGAACUGUAAAGGACUGCUGCCUCAGAACUGCUGUUGCCAUAGAGCUGCUAACGAAGAAAAAAACUGCAGCAUGGAUUUCUUGUGCUGUUGAAGGAGGAAAUGCUGCAAAGAAAGGAGGGAGAAGAAGAGUGACUUUUUCCUUUAGAAAAUACUCACUGCUGCUUCAAGGUAGCUGCUUUUUGAUACUACUUUGGCAUUAACGUUAUUACCCUGAGUAAAGACAGCCAUGAAAGAACUCAGUAGGGAGAGAAAUGAGAAGAAAAAGUGUUGGUAAAAAAUUCAGCAUAAUCUUGAGCUGAUGAAUGCAGUUUGUAUGUAUUAAAAUGUCUCAGUUGUUACAUUCAUCUGUGCAGUGCUGUGAAACCUUUCAAAACGCAAGUGAAAUUAUGUUUUAUGUGGUAAGAUUGUUGUGAUAUGUUGAUGUGUUAUCAACCUUUUAUCAAUGAUCUUUUGUCUUCUGUUAUCAAAGUAGAUGUCUUUUGAGUGGAAAUGUAUAAUAAAUAAAUAAAAAUUAAUAUUAAAUACUCA